rnacentral:rRNA from 1 species
AGUGAACGCUGGCGGCAGGCUUAACACAUGCAAGUCGAACGGUAGCACAGUAAGAGCUUGCUCUUACGGGUGGCGGGUGGCAGACGGGUGAGGAAUACAUCGGAAUCUACUUUUUCGUGGGGGAUAACGUAGGGAAACUUACGCUAAUACCGCAUAUGCCCUACGGGUGAAAGCAGGGGACCGUCGGACCUUGCGCGACUGAAUGAGCUGAUGUCGGAUUAGCUAGUUGGCGGGGUAAAGGCCCACCAAGGCGACGGUCCGUAGCUGGUCUGAGAGGAUGGUCAGCCACACUAGAGGGGAGACACGGUCCAGACGCCUACGGGAGGCAGCAGUGGGGAAUAUUGGACAAUGGGCGCAAGCCUGAUCCAGCCAUACCGCGUGGGUGAAGAAGGCCUUCGGGUUGUAAAGCCCUUUUGUUGGGAAAGAAAAGCAGCAGGUUAAUACCCCGCUGUUCUGACGGUACCGGAAGAAUAAGCACCGGCUAACUACGUG